UUUUCGAGUCGGCCGCUGCCCAGCGCUUCCGCAAGGGACAUCCCACCACGCAACUCCACGUUAAUCCCGCGGAAGGGGUUACUUUGAAAUCCGCUGUUGCUCGCUGUCGCCACUGUGGUUCAGCGGCAAAAGCCAGAUGGGCUUGCCCGCAAGGCAAGCGUUCAGCCAGGGAGCCAGUGCAGAAAUUCAGGUGGUUGGUUUGUUUUUCAGUCCUUCCUGUUCGCAGAAGCAAUGCAAUGUGUUAGGUCGUGCUGCAUUUGGAGCACGUUUCAGGGCGUUUACUGUGGUCGAAGCAGAGGGGCUUUCCCAGAUAGAGGAGUGGUUUAAACUUCCAAAGGUGCAGGGGGCUCUGCGCACGGGCAGUUUUUCUUUCUCUCCGAGAGCGAAAAGUGGUUACGAAAGAAAAGGCAAACAUGCCUUGUCUCCUCGGAAGGUUUCCUCCUCGCCUGCUCCUCGUCCGAAAGGGGAUAUGUCCUACAUCUAAUUUAAAAAAGGAUAGUUCAUCGUGCGCAACUGUACGUCAUACUGCACCUAACAGCGCUACCCCCCGGAAUAAGUUACAGCACACUUGAAUUAGGUUUACUUGGAAGCAAGCCCCGGAGAGAAGAGUGUUGGACCGUGGGCAAGGAUCCCAGGAAAGGUAGCCUUCCGCUCCAGCAGCACUGCUAUUCUCAUUUUGCAGACUGGCAGAACAACGUUUGGAUGCCCUGCUGCUGCCUGGGAACGUAAAGGCCAGGAGAGCCCUGCACUGACUUUAGUUGAGUUCAUGAUGUCUGUACAUGCCAGAGGACUUUGGAUGGAAAGGUGUUGUGAAGUAACUGAAAAUAGCUGUUGUCGGGAUAUAAUCCCAGUUCUAGGAGAAAGGAGCUGAGAUCUAGGAGACAGCAGCUGGAGUGCGACUUGAAUGUCUGCUUGGAUUUGAACGUCUGGAUGCAAGCUUGUCACGGGUCCUUCAGGACAACAGUGGUGGUGGCAAGAUCACCAGAAAGCUGGAGGGAGGCUUGUAUAUCAGGUGUUGGAAUUCACUCCCCAAAGAGGUCCGCCUGGCACCGUCGUUACUGGUUUUUCGGCGCCAGGGGCCCAGCAAGGGAGAAACCAAAUUCUAUCUUGCAUAAGAUACGUGCCUCAUACCUGCAUGGAUUCAUCCCUACUUGAUGGAAACCCUAUCUCUACCUAAGUCAAAGGGCAUAAUUCCCCAGCCUUUCCAAGUUGAUUUGAAAUCUAAGAAAACAACAACUACAACUAGCUUUCUUUUUUCCAAUACAAAAUAGCUGAAUUUUUAUUUAUUUGGACAAGAAAAUGUGCAUAAAUCUCAAGGCUGGGGGAAUAGAGAAAUAUGGAAGUUCUACUCAACUAUGAAAUCUGCAUAUAUUUCUCAGUCUGACAAAUUUGUGCAUUUAAAAAAAUUCUGGGAAAUACAUACAUACACACGUGGACAUAUGGACAGAUUAGGAGAAAUUUGCAACAUAUUUUCUUUCCAUGUACUUUACAGCUUUGAAAUCUGUGAAUAUUUUCCUGUG